GACGAACGCUGGCGGCGUGCUUAACACAUGCAAGUCGAACGGAAAGGCCCUGCGUUUGUGGGGUGCUCGAGUGGCGAACGGGUGAGUAACACGUGAGUAACCUGCCCUUGACUUUGGGAUAACUUCAGGAAACUGGGGCUAAUACCGGAUAGGAGCUCCUGCUGCAUGGGGGGGGUUGGAAAGUUUCGGCGGUUGGGGAUGGACUCGCGGCUUAUCAGCUGGUUGGUGGGGUAGUGGCUUACCAAGGUUUUGACGGGUAGCCGGCCUGAGAGGGUGACCGGCAACAUUGGGACUGAGAUACGGCCCAGACUCCUACGGGAGGCAGCAGUGGGGAAUAUUGCACAAUGGGCGGAAGCCUGAUGCAGCAACGCCGCGUGCGGGAUGACGGCCUUCGGGUUGUAAACCGCUUUCGCCUGUGACGAAGCGUGAGUGACGGUAAUGGGUAAAGAAGCACCGGCUAACUACGUG
rnacentral:rRNA from 1 species